rnacentral:lncRNA from 1 species
AUCCCCACUAUAUAUAUAUAUGUGUGUGUGUGUGUGUGUGUGUGUGUGUGUAUACUUCAAAACAAUUAUAGUUAUGUUUUAUACUUUCUCUGUAUGCAAUUUACAGAUACCUGAAAUGUGAGGGAACUCAGGUGAAAUGUAACCAUUGCUUACUCAGAUGAAAUUUGUUAAAUUGUUAAAUGAUAUCCUGUAAUCAGGCAGCAACACAGUUCAUAGAUACUGUUAUAAAUUAUUUUAAAAUUGGAAAUAUCAAACAGUUAUAUUUUACUUAGUGGCCAUAUUACAGUCCUGUGAUAAGGAACUUUCGGCAAUUCUACUGCAUUGAAAGAAAGAUGUACUGCUUGGAGAGACAGGUAAAUAUCUCUUGAUUUUGGAAAAGCUGAAGGGCUGAUUGCCUUUGUAUGUCUUUGUGUGCAAUAUGAGUUGAACACCUUGCUUUCUUGGUGUUGCUUUAACAGGAAACCUCACCAUACAUUCUUCUUUUUAUCCUUUAUUGACCAGAGGUGAAUUUCCAACAAGGGUCAAGGGAUGCAUUUUUCCUAUUGAGCGCCCAAGCUCUGUUUGUGGACAAUACAAUCUACUUGGCAUUGCAGUAACUGCAACUGAAAAUAAAUUAGAGUGACUUCUGUGGAUUCAGAAGAACAUUUUCAUGUGGAGAUGCCUACACUACAAGGAGACAAGCUGUGGGAGAGGAUAAGCAAUAAACAUUGCAUUUAUUAGCUUCUUGUGAGUAAAUAUUUAUCUAUCACUCCUUGGCUGUAUGCUACUGUUGCAUAUUCAGUGCUCCCUGACGCACCUGUACCAUGUGGUCUGCAAACAGAAGAAAAUUCUUCACCACAUGACAAGACAGACACAACAGUGAGUUCUGGGAAUGCAAAGCAGCUUCAAUGGAGAUACAGAAGGGAGGACCAUGGCCCAUUACCUCUUGGAAUUUCCUGAUUUGAGGGGUUCACUGAGGAACCUAAAUGCUGCAUUUGAGCUUCUACCCGGCAGAGGCUAAGGCAGUGUGGUCAGCAUUGGUGGGGCUGGAAGGGAGCAGAGCUGCAGCUGUGUUGCACAGUGAUGGAACCUGGAGCAGGAUGAUAUGUGCCAAUGCAGUAUUGGUGAGAUUUUGCACAUGGACUGUGCAUGUAGCAUGCGUUCAGUACAUAUAACAUGUACAUACAUGUAUCUUAAGUAUAUGUAACAUGGCUGUAGUGUGUGGGAUAUAUUGCACAGACUGACUGCUUAUGUACAGCUCACUGAUUUUUGUUAUUGAAUCCUCUUCUCAAGAAGUUAAACAUGGUGAACAGUGAACACAAAUGUCUACAAAACUUUUGUUAAAACCUCCAACAUAACAGCAUUUUGAAAGUUACAACUUAUAAACAUGGCAAUUUCAGAGCAGAUCAUCAUUUGGAAUAACAACAUUUCUGACUGCUGUUUUUACACUUUGUGCUCAUGCCAGUCUAUAAUGCUGACACAAUUUUAGGAACAUCAGCAACUAAC